AGCAACCAAAAUUAAAUACCUCUAAUAAACUACCACCACUACGAGAUCUAAAAUCCCACAAAGAGAGGGUGGGGUGAUCAGCUCACAAGUAGGACAAAUACAAGCCAAAGUCAAUAUUAUUAGUUGUGUUAGUAAGAUAUAGGGUAGUUCAAAAUUACUCUCGUCCUUGCACUCCCAACUCCUUAUGCAACUUAGAAAUAGG
rnacentral:lncRNA from 1 species